rnacentral:lncRNA from 1 species
AUGCGAUGCCGCAUCCGACCACGGCUUCUCGCUCCGCGCGGCGGGGGGAAAGCCGGGAGCAAAGCACCUUUGCGGAAAGCCGCGGGAACGGAUCCAGGCUUUGUCUGCCGUGGGGGGAAAAAAAAGCAGGGGAGCAUCCGGGCAGGUUUGGUGUCGUUUGGCAGCGGCGGCGGUGGGAACCGGAGCAGCCCGCGGCUCCGUAACCCUUCCCGAGAGAUUCCUGAGCAAACCCAGCCGCCGCCGGCAGUCCAGACGGAUGGACGGAUGGAUGGAUGGAGACGCGGGCUGGCGAGCAGGACGGGGCGGCAGCCGGGUGCGGGACAAAAAGGAGAAGCGUGGAAGGGGCUGGCAGCAGCCGGGGAGCGGGCCGGGAUAUUCUCCCACGCCAGGCGCUUCCCUCCUGCACGCAAAGCGCAUCCCAGCUCAGGCCUUUGGGACAACAUUGGGAUCGAAUUAACAUGCAUUCCCUUAAAAGAGCCAGGUCGAGGAUUAAAAGACCCAACUCUUAGAGAAUUAGGAUUUUGUUGUUUUUUUUUCCCAUCCUCCUUAAACCUGGCGGCAGCUUUCCCAGCAUCCGCUCACGCGGCUCAGUCCGGGCCUGAUGUUAAAAUCACGGCGUCCGCGAAGGCUAAAGCGGGCAGAGAUGGCGAUUUCCAGACCCUGCCUGCGCCGCGCUCCUGGUUCCUGGCAGCCCAAAGCCCUGCCAAGCUUGUCGCAGUGAUUUCAGGGAGCGGGUCAGGGUCGCAUCCCGGGAUGCAAAGCGAUCCCGGCUCCGCUCCGUCGCCGAUGCCCGGCCCGGCCGCGCUGGCGCGAGAAACCCGACCGAGCAGCCGGCGAGAGAAGGGAGCUUCUCCGUUUCCCUUGGGCCCUUUUUCCUUUCCGCUGAACCACCUCAAAGUCCAGCCGGUUUCCCAAACCGCUCCCGCGUAUCGGUCAGGGCCUGAAAACCUUCCCACGGAAUCGCAAGGUUGUUAUUUCAAUUGCACUCCUAAAUACAAAUCAGCGAUUUAUUCCUAUUUUACUAAUUUAAAGCUUUUCUCUCUCGCAGAGCGGGAACGAGUCGCACGUGACGUGAGAUUUUGA